rnacentral:lncRNA from 1 species
AGGCGGUCAUCCGCCUCCUGCCCCGGGCCUCACCAAGGAGCAGCUGCGCCCGCUGCCCACGCACGACUACUUCCAGUUCUUUGCCGCCGACCUGAGAUCCAGAAUAUAAAAACUUUUUAGAAACCUACUGUGUGGAGGAAGAGAAGACCAGUGCCAACCCUGAGACUGCUGGGGGAGAUGGAGGCGAAGACAAGAGAGCUCAUUGCUAGAAGAACUACACCUAUUUUGGAAUAUAUUAAAAAUAGAAAAUUAGAAAAGCAGAGAAUUCGAGAAGAGAAGCGAGAAGAACGGAGGAGGAGAGAGAAAAGAAACGUUUGCGGGAAGAGGAAAAAAGAAAAGAGAUGCAAAAAAUGAGAUAAACCGAAGAAAAUUGCAGAGAAGUAAGGAUUAAGGUCACACAGCAGCAGUGACAAAGAGCACAGGGAUGUGGAGAGAUCUCAAGAAAAAGAAUCUGAAGCACAAAGACAGCAUGUGGAUGACGGCAGGAGGCACAGAGCUCACCACGAGCCUGACUGGCUUUCCAGAAGGCGUGAAGAUUAGCAGAGAUGGGGGAGCCGGGACAGCGGGGCUCCGAGGGAGGCCGUGGAGAGACCAGGAAGAGUGCAGAGGUGUGAUGACGGUCCGGCACCCAGAAAGGAGUGACUGGCAAACGAGGACCGGCCGGCCUUGCAGCUGUAUGAUCCGGGAGCUCGCGUGUGGCGGAAGCGGGAGGAACUGCAAGGCAAAAGGUUCGGGGACAGAUCCUGAGAACAGGGAAGAGGCAGAAUGA